rnacentral:rRNA from 1 species
UAACUGGAGAGUUUGAUUCUGGCUCAGAACGAACGCUGGCGGCAUGCCUAACACAUGCAAGUCGCACGGGAAUUCCCGCCGCAAGGCGGGAUAGUACAGUGGCGCACGGGUGAGUAACACGUAGGUAACCUACCUGUUGUUGGGGAACAACCUGUCGAAAGACGGGCUAAUUCCGCAUAACCUCUCCUCAUGAAAAUGAGGCGAGAAAAGAGGACCUCUUCAUGAAAGUUCUCGACGACAGAUGGGCCUGCGUCCGAUUAGCUAGUUGGUAGGGUAACGGCCUACCAAGGCGACGAUCGGUAGCUGGUCUGAGAGGACGAUCAGCCACACUGGCACUGAAACACGGGCCAGACUCCUACGGGAGGCAGCAGUGGGGAAUAUUGGACACGGGGGGAAACCCUGAUCCAGCAAUGCCGCGUGAGCGAUGAAGGCCUUCGGGUCGUAAAGCUCUGUCGGGGGGGACGAAACCUUCGUGGGAAUAAUACCCCAUGAAAUUGACGGUACCCCCAAAGGAAGCACCGGCUAACUCUGUGCCAGCAGCCGCGGUAAUACAGAGGGUGCUAGCGUUGUUCGGAAUUACUGGGCGUAAAGCGCGUGUAGGCGGAUGAAGAAGUCGGGUGUGAAAGCCCUGGGCUUAACCCAGGAACUGCGCCCGAAACCAUUCAUCUGGAGUACAGCAGGGGAGCGGGGAAUUCCCGGUGUAGAGGUGAAAUUCGUAGAUAUCGGGAGGAACACCAGUGGCGAAGGCGCCGCUCUGGGCUGUCACUGACGCUGAAACGCGAAAGCUUGGGGAGCAAACAGGAUUAGAUACCCUGGUAGUCCA